rnacentral:rRNA from 1 species
GACGAACGCUGGCGGCGUGCCUAAUACAUGCAAGUAGAACGCUGAAGCUUGGUGCUUGCACCGAGCGGAUGAGUUGCGAACGGGUGAGUAACGCGUAGGUAACCUGCCUGGUAGCGGGGGAUAACUAUUGGAAACGAUAGCUAACACCGCAUAAGAGUAGAUGUUGCAUGACAUUUGCUUAAAAGGUGCAAUUGCAUCACUACCAGAUGGACCUGCGUUGUAUUAGCUAGUUGGUGAGGUAACGGCUCACCAAGGCAACGAUACAUAGCCGACCUGAGAGGGUGAUCGGCCACACUGGGACUGAGACACGGCCCAGACUCCUACGGGAGGCAGCAGUAGGGAAUCUUCGGCAAUGGACGGAAGUCUGACCGAGCAACGCCGCGUGAGUGAAGAAGGGUUUCGGAUCGUAAAGCUCUGUUGUAAGAGAAGAACGAGUGUGAGAGUGGAAAGUUCACACUGUGACGGUAUCUUACCAGAAAGGGACGGCUAACUACGUG